UACGGGGGAUGCAAGCGUUAUCCGGAAUUACUGGGCGUAAAGCGUCUGUAGGCGGUUAUGCAAGUCACUGGUGAAAUACUCUGGCUCAACCGGAGGAAAGCCAGUGAAACUGCAUGACUAGAGUGUGGGAGAGGUAGAAGGAAUUCCCUGAGUAGCGGUGAAAUGCGCAGAUACAGGGAAGAACACCGGAGGCGAAAGCGUUCUACUGGAACACAACUGACACUGAGAAGCGAAAGCGGGGGGAGCGAACGGG
rnacentral:rRNA from 1 species